rnacentral:rRNA from 1 species
UACGUAGGCAGCAAGCGUUGUUCGGAAUUACUGGGCGUAAAGAGUGUGUAGGCGGUGCUCUAAGUUCGGUGUGAAAUCUCCCGGCUCAACUGGGAGGGUGCGCCGAAAACUGGAGUGCUGGAGCGCGGGAGAGGAAAGCGGAAUUCCUGGUGUAGCGGUGAAAUGCGUAGAUAUCAGGAGGAACACCGGCGGCGAAGGCGGGUCUCUGGGCCAUAACUGACGCUGAGGAGCGAAAGCGUGGGGAGCGAACAGG